rnacentral:rRNA from 1 species
GUGGGGAAUACUGGACAAUGGGCGAAAGCCUGAUCCAGCCAUGCCGCGUGUGUGAAGAAGGUCUUCGGAUUGUAAAGCACUUUAAGUUGGGAGGAAGGGCAGUAAGUUAAUACCUUGCUGUUUUGACGUUACCGACAGAAUAAGCACCGGCUAACUUCGUGCCAGCAGCCGCGGUAAUACGAAGGGUGCAAGCGUUAAUCGGAAUUACUGGGCGUAAAGCGCGCGUAGGUGGUUUUGUAAGUUGGAGGUGAAAUCCCCGGGCUCAACCUGGGAACUGCCUCCAAAACUGCAUGACUAGAGUACGGUAGAGGGUAGUGGAAUUUCCUGUGUAGCGGUGAAAUGCGUAGAUAUAGGAAGGAACACCAGUGGCGAAGGCGACUACCUGGACUGAUACUGACACUGAGGUGCGAAAGCGUGGGGAGCAAACAGGAUUAGAUACCCCAGUAGUCC